AGUUUCAAGCAUUCUGUAUUGUGGAACAUUGCAAGCCUUGCGGGAUUACACACUUACCGAUGGAACGGUUCUUGUUUUGCUGAAGGACAAGAGGCUGGCAUGGAUCCUGCCGUAGCGUUCGAGAGCAUUUCGUGCAUUGCAGACUUUUUGGGUGCAAUGGCUGGAAAUAUUAGAUGCUUGCAAAGCGGUCCUGGAGACAACAAGACCUGGAUGCGUGCUUUCAAGUUGC